rnacentral:rRNA from 1 species
AACGAACGCUGGCGGCAGGCCUAACACAUGCAAGUCGUGCGGACCCUUCGGGGUUAGCGGCGGACGGGUGAGUAACGCGUGGGAACGUGCCCUUUGCUUCGGAAUAGCCCUGGGAAACUGGGAGUAAUACCGGAUACGCCCUUUUGGGGAAAGAUUUAUCGGCGAAGGAUCGGCCCGCGUUGGAUUAGGUAGUUGGUGGGGUAAUGGCCUACCAAGCCGACGAUCCAUAGCUGGUUUGAGAGGAUGAUCAGCCACACUGGGACUGAGACACGGCCCAGACUCCUACGGGAGGCAGCAGUGGGGAAUCUUGGACAAUGGGGGAAACCCUGAUCUAGCCAUGCCGCGUGAGCGAUGAAGGCCUUAGGGUUGUAAAGCUCUUUCACCGGGGAAGAUAAUGACGGUACCCGGAGAAGAAGCCCCGGCUAACUCCGUG